GUUAACGGUGUGUCUGCGUCUGUUAAUUUUUUCGUCGGUAUAACCGUGUUGGUGCUUAGUCAUAUAUAUAUAUAUAUGUAUAAUUAAUUUGCAUAUUUAUAUAUGCAUAUAUAAAGCAUUUGAAAAUCCAUUCAUUGAUCAUUUUCAUUAAAUUUAAACAAUUUUAAAAUUUAUAUGAUAAUUGUAUAUAAUUAAAUUUUUUUUUCGAAUUUAUAAUAAAAAUCGAUCGAAUCAACAGCAUCGUUUCACUCUUAAAAAAGUGAUCGGUGUGCGAAUAACCGCACCGCGUCGUAACGUUUUUUGUUUUGAACAAAAAAACGUUAACCGCGCUUACUCACCAUCUAUCUUUAGAUUGCGAAUUUUCGAAUUUUCUUGGUGGUUAUAAUUCGCGACGAUAUUUUCGCUUAAAUAUUUGUAUAACAAUUUAACGAUUUUAACCGUUAUUGUCUCUGCCACCAUUCAAUACGCUUUACAAAAUUUAAGAAAAAAAAAAAAUUGGAAGUGUUUAUUGAAGUGAAUAAAAGAAUAAGAAUUUGAAAAAUAAAUAUUUAAGUAUAAAGAAAUAAAGAAGUAAAAAAUAGAAAAAGAGUGAAUUAAAAAUUAAAAAUAAAUCUAAAAAAGAAAAGUUUUCUGAGAAAAAAAAAAUAUUUGAAAAAUUUAAAAAAAGAAAAGUCAUUCAGAAUAUUUCAUUGAAGUGCAAAAAAAAAAAAAAUUCUUUAGUGAAAAUUUGUUGAAAAAAGUUUUCCAAAAAAAAAAAAAAAAUUUUAAGUAUAAUAAUUAUUAUUAUAAGUUUUAUAUUUAAGCUCAAAUAUAAAAUUCUCAUUGGAUUAAAUAAAUUACAACAACAAUAAAAGGCGAAAUACAGCAGACACUAUGGGAUUUACUAUAAUAAAGUGGAUUACGUUUAUUGGAUUUACGGUAUUGAUUGGUUUGGUUGAUAGUGCUACAAAUCCAUCUGAUGCUGAUGCAAAAGGACCAACAUUUUUAAAGGAACCCACAAAUCGUGUCGAUUUUUCAAACUCAACUGGAGCAGAAGUCGAAUGUAAAGCAAGUGGUAAUCCAGCACCAGAAAUUAUUUGGAUACGUAGUGAUGGUACAGCUGUUGGUGAUGUUCCUGGUUUAAGACAAGUAUCUUCUGAUGGAAAAUUAGUUUUUCCACCAUUUAGAGCAGAAGAUUAUAGACAGGAAGUUCAUGCACAAGUAUAUGCUUGUUUAGCACGUAAUCAAUUAGGAUCAAUUAUUUCACGGGAUGUACAUGUUAGAGCUGUUGUUCAACAAUAUUAUGAAUCUGAAGUUAAUAAUGAAUACGUGAUACGUGGUAAUUCAGCUGUUCUUAAAUGUUCUAUACCAUCAUUUGUUGCUGAUUUUGUUCAAGUUGUUUCAUGGCAAGAUGAAAAUGGUGAUUUAUAUGGGACAUUAGAUGAAAAUAAAGGUCAACAUCAACAAUUAUCAGCUGAUGGUAAAUAUUUAGUUCUUCCAUCUGGUGAACUUCAUAUUCGUGAAGUUGGUCCAGAAGAUGGUUAUAAAAGUUAUCAAUGUAGAACAAAACAUCGUUUAACUGGUGAAACACGAUUGAGUGCAACAAAAGGACGUCUUGUUAUUACUGAGCCCGUGGGUAGUGUUCCACCAAAAAUUAAUCUUCACGAUAAAUUUCAAGUAGUUGAAGUUAAGAAUGGAACUGAUUAUUAUUCUUUACAAUGUCCAGGUCAAUCGUUUCCCAUACCAGCAUUUAGAUGGUAUAAAUUCAUUGAAGGAACCACGAGAAAACAAGCUGUCGCACUUAAUGAUCGAGUAAAACAAGUUUCUGGUACAUUAAUAAUUAAAGAUGCCGUUGUUGAAGAUUCUGGAAAAUAUUUAUGUGUUGUGAAUAACUCUGUUGGCGGUGAAAGUGUUGAGACCGUUUUAACUGUAACAGCUCCAUUAUCAGCGAAAAUUGAUCCACCAACACAGACGGUAGAUUUCGGACGACCAGCGGUAUUUACUUGUCAAUAUUCCGGUAAUCCAAUUAAAACUGUAUCAUGGCUUAAAGAUGGAAAAUCAAUUGGUCAUAGUGAUCCAGUUUUACGAAUUGAAUCAGUUAAGAAAGAAGAUAAAGGAAUGUACCAAUGUUUUAUACGAAAUGAUCAAGAAAGUGCAGAAGCAAGUGCCGAAUUAAAACUAGGAGGACGUUUUGACCCACCAGUUAUUCGACAAGCUUUUCAAGAAGAAACAAUGCAACCAGGACCAAGUGUAUUCUUAAAAUGUGUAGCUGGUGGUAAUCCAACUCCAGAAAUUUCAUGGGAACUUGAUGGUAAAAAAAUUGCUAAUAAUGAUCGGUAUCAAGUUGGACAAUAUGUUACUGUAAACGGAGAUGUUGUCUCAUAUUUGAAUAUAACAUCUGUGCAUGCAAAUGAUGGUGGUUUAUAUAAAUGUAUUGCAGCUAGUAAAGUUGGUGUUGCACAACAUUCGGCAAAAUUAAAUGUUUUUGGUUUGCCUUAUAUUAGACAAAUGGAAAAGAAAGCUAUUGUCGCUGGAGAAACAUUGUUUGUAACAUGCCCUGUAGCUGGUUAUCCAAUUGAAUCUAUUGUAUGGGAACGAGAUAAUCGAGCACUCCCAAUUAAUAGAAAACAGAAAGUCUUCCCAAAUGGUACACUUAUUAUAGAAAAUGUGGAACGGAAUUCAGAUCAAGCUACAUACACUUGCGUUGCAAAAAAUGCUGAAGGAUAUUUAGCUAGAGGUUCACUUGAAGUACAAGUUAUGGUAUUACCAGAAAUUUUACCAUUUCAAUAUGAUGGUAUUUUAAAUGUUGGUGAUUCUGUUGAUUUAAUAUGUCAGAUAUAUAAAGGUGAUAGACCAGUACAAAUUUCAUGGAGUUUUUUACGUUUAAGUCAUAAAAAACAUAAAGAUAUUCAACCAGUAAUGCGUACACAUCGUAUUAGUGCACAAUCAAGUGUACUUUCAAUACCACAAGCAACAGCUUCACAUACUGGAACAUAUAUUUGUACAGCAACAAAUAUUGCUGGACAAACUUCAUAUAGUACAAAUUUAACUGUUAAUGUACCACCAAGAUGGAUACUUGAACCUACCGAUAAAGCUUUUGCUCAAGGAUCAGAUGCUAAAGUUGAAUGUAAAGCUGAUGGAUUUCCAAAACCACAAGUAACAUGGAAACGUGCCGUUGGUGAUACUCCCGGAGAAUACAAAGAUUUAAAGCAAAAUGAUAAUAUUCGUGUUGAGGAAGGAACCCUAUUCAUUGACAAUAUACAGAAAAAUAAUGAAGGAUAUUAUUUAUGUGAAGCUAUUAACGGAAUUGGUUCAGGAUUAAGUGCAGUUAUUAUGAUUAGUGUGCAAGCUCCACCAGAAUUCACAGAAAAAUUCCGUAAUCAAACAGCUCGUCGUGGUGAACCAGCUGUAUUACAAUGUGAAGCUAAAGGUGAAAAACCAAUUGGAAUUUUAUGGAAUAUGAAUAAUAUGAGAUUAGACCCAAAAACUGAUAACCGUUAUACAAUUCGUGAAGAAAUUUUAUCUGCUGGUGUUAUGUCAAGUCUUUCUAUUAAACGUACUGAACGAUCUGAUUCUGCAUUAUUUACAUGUGUCGCAACAAAUGCUUUUGGAAGUGAUGAUGCCAGUAUUAAUAUGAUUAUUCAAGAAGUUCCAGAAAUGCCAUACGCUCUUAAAGUUUUAGACAAAUCCGGUCGAUCAGUACAAUUAAGUUGGGCUAAACCAUAUGAUGGAAACUCACCAUUAAAACGUUAUAUUAUUGAAUUUAAACGGUCACGUGCUUCAUGGGAUGAAAUUGAUCGCGUUAUUGUUCCUGGACAUACGACUGAGGCUCAAGUACAAAAACUUAAUCCUGCUACAACAUACAAUAUUAGAAUUGUUGCUGAAAACGAAAUUGGAACAUCACAAUCAUCGGAAGCUGUAACAAUAAUUACUGCUGAAGAAGUACCAUCUGGAAAACCACAAAAUAUUAAAGUUGAACCAGUUAAUCAAACGACAUUGAGAGUAACAUGGAAACCACCAGCACGCUCAGAAUGGAAUGGAGAAAUUUUAGGAUAUUAUGUUGGUUACAGACUUUCAAGUUCUAAUACAACAUACAUUUUCGAAACUGUUAAUUUCGCAACAGAAGAAGGCAAAGAACAUAGUUUAGAUCUCACAAAUUUAAGAGUAUAUACACAAUAUUCGGUUGUAAUUCAAGCAUUUAACAAAAUGGGCCCUGGACCAUUAAGCGAAGAAGAAAAACAAUUUACUGCUGAAGGUACACCAACACAACCACCAAGUGAUACUGCCUGUACAACUUUGACAUCACAAACAAUUCGAGUAUCAUGGGUAAGCCCUCCAUUAGAAUCUGCCAAUGGUGUUAUUAAGAAUUAUAAAGUUGUUUAUGCACCAAGUGAUUUAUGGUAUGAUGAAACAAAACGUCAAUACAAAAAGACUGCCUCAAGUGAUACUGUGUUACACGGUUUGAAAAAAUAUACAAAUUACACAAUGCAAGUUUUGGCCACAACAGCAGGAGGCGACGGUGUUCGUAGUGCUCCAAUUCAUUGUCAAACUGAACAAGAUGUCCCUGAACCACCCACCGACGUUAAAGCUUUAGUUAUGGGUCCAGAAGCAAUUUUAGUAUCAUGGAGACCACCAACUCAACCCAAUGGCGUUAUUCAACAAUAUACUGUAUAUAGCAAAGCUGAAGGUGCCGAAAGUGAAGUAAAAUCACAUAAGAUUCCGUAUUACCAAAUUAGUUUUGAAGCCAAUGGAUUAGAAAAAAAUAAACCAUAUGAAUUUUGGGUAACUGCAAGUACUGUUAUUGGCGAAGGACAACAAUCAAAGAGUAUUGUAGCAAUGCCAAGUGAUCAAGUUCCAGCUAAAAUUGCCUCUUUUGAUGACACAUUUACUGCCACAUUUAAAGAAGACGCAAAACUGCCAUGCUUAGCCGUCGGUUCUCCUACACCUGAUAUUACGUGGAAAGUUAAAGGAGUUGAAUUCUCACAAAAUGAUAGAAUGCGUCAAUUGCCAGAAGGUUCGUUGUUAAUUAAAUCUGUUACUAGACAAGAUGCCGGGGAAUAUACAUGCCAUGCCGAGAAUUCAAUAGCUAAGGAUUCAAUUACGCACAAAUUAAUUGUUUUAGCUCCACCGCAAUCACCUCAAGUAACUUUAUCUGCCACAACAACCGAUUCUUUAACUGUAAAACUAAAACCACAUGAAACAGACACUGCUCCUCUACACGGCUAUACGAUUCACUACAAACCAGAAUUUGGAGAAUGGGAAACUGCUGAAGUUUCGGUUGAUGCACAAAAAUAUAAUAUUGAAAAUUUACUCUGUGGAUCAAGAUAUCAAGUUUAUGCAACUGGUUACAACAAUAUUGGUGCUGGAGAAGCUUCUGAUAUAUUGAAUACAAGAACAAAAGGAUCAAAACCAAUUUUACCAGAAACAUCGAGAUUUAUUGAAGUUUCAUCUAAUUCAGUUAGUUUACAUUUCAAAUCAUGGAAAGAUGGUGGAUGUCCAAUGUCACAUUUCGUAGUAGAAAACAAGAAAAAGGACCAAAGUGAAUGGAAUCAGAUUUCAAAUAAUGUUAAACCUGAUAAUAAUUAUGUUGUUCUUGAUUUGGAACCAGCUACAUGGUAUAUGUUGAGAAUAACUGCACAUAAUUCAGCUGGCUUUACUGUUGCGGAAUAUGAAUUUGCCACACUUACUGUUACAGGAGGAACUAUUGCCCCACCAUCGGGUUCAAGUGGCAUGGGACAUGGAAAUCCAAGGAUAAUAAUGCCAGCGUGGAUGCCUGAAUGGUUAGAUUUAAAUUUUAUGGUGCCUUUAAUUGCCACUUGUAUUGUUGUUGCGGUGGGUAUUCUAGUAAUAUGUGUAGCUGUUUCAAGAAGACGUGCAGAUGAUUUACGUGGAGGACAAAAAGAUGUUUAUUACGAUGUAGUUUACAAUCAGACUAUGGGACCUGGAGCAACGUUGGACAAACGCCGACCAGAUUUACGUGAUGAAUUGGGUUAUAUUGCACCACCAAAUCGUAAAUUACCACCAGUACCAGGAUCAAAUUACAAUACAUGUGAUCGCAUUAAACGAGGUACAGUAAUAAGCCGAGGAAUGAGAGCGAAUCUUUCGACAUGGGAUCCACGUCGUCCAAUUUAUGAAGAAUUAAGACCACCACCGAUCCCACAUAGAUUUGCUGGGCCAGGUGGAUCUACAGAAGAAUGUGCUUAUCAUACGCAUCCAGGUAGAAUUAAAUGUAUGGAAGAUGAAAUUUGUCCGUAUGCUACUUUCCAUUUACUCGGUUUCCGUGAAGAAAUGGAUCCAACAAAAGCAAUGAAUUUCCAAACUUUCCCACAUCAAAAUGGUCAUACUGGUCCUGGUCAUGCUGGAACAAUGGGUCCACCAGGACAUCCUGGACACGUUCAUUCAAGAUCUGGAUCUCAAUCAAUGCCAAGAGCUAACCGUUAUGCUCGCAAAAAUAGUCAAGGUGGUCAAAGUUCUAUUUAUCAACCAGCACCAGAAUAUGAUGAUCCAGCUAAUUGCGCUGAAGAAGAUCAAUAUCGUCGUUAUACAAGAGUUAAUUCUCAAGGUGGUAGUUUAUAUAAUGGUCCCGAAUAUGAUGAUCCAGCUAAUUGUGCACCUGAAGAAGAUCAAUAUGGUUCACAAUAUGGCGGUCCUUAUGGUACACCUUAUGAUCAUUAUGGAUCACGCGGAUCUGUAGGAAGACGUAGUGUUGGUUCUGCACGUAAUUUACCAAAUGGUAACGGAUCUCCUGAACCACCACCACCUCCACCACGUAAUCAUGAUAUGAGUAAUUCAUCAUUUAAUGAUUCCAAAGAAAGUAAUGAAAUUUCUGAAGCUGAAUGUGAUCGUGACCAUCCAAGAGGCAAUUAUGGCGAAGAUUCAGCUGAGGCCAAACGUUCCCCAAAUCAACGGGACCAGCGUUCAACUGAAGAAAUGCGAAAAUUAAUUGAAAGUUUAGAGGACUAUUAUUUAGGGAAAAAAAAUUAAAAUUAAUUUUUUGUCUACCACCUACUUAAAGUAAUUAAAAUUAUACCAAAGAAUUAUUAAUUAUACCUAUUAUAUAAUUAUGGAACAAUAUUUAUCAAUAUAAAAAAGAAACGAAGCCGGCCCAACAAAACAACUCCAACAACAAGGUAGCGCAGGACUCACAGCCUACGAUACUAUGGCAGUGUAAUUUGUAAGAAAUUUUUGAAUUAAUCAGCAACAAAAAAUCUGAAUGCACAUUUAUAUAAAAAAAAAGCAGAAAAAUAGAAAAAAAAAACAAAAAAAAAAAUAUCAUAAAAUAUUAUAAAAAAGAAAAAAAUGGAAAAACUAAACCAAAUAUUUAAAGAAAACUAAAAAAAAUUUAAACUAAUUAAAAAUUAUAUUUAAAAAUUACUAUUAUAUAUUAUUAUAAAAUUUAAGAGUGAAAAAUAAUCAGCAAACAAAAAAAAAGAAAGAAAAAGAAAACAAAAAACAAAAUUAAUUUCAUAUAAAAAGUAAAAGAAACAAAAGAAAAAAAAAAUUAAUUAUCUCUAAAAAAAAUAUUAAAUAUAUUCAUUUAUAUAUUAAAUAUCAAAAUAUAUAAAAAAAUUAUAAUUGAAAAAAAAAACAACAAAUAUAGCAAACCAAAAAAGAAAGAAAACACACACACACACAAAAAUAAAACACAAAAUAGCCAUAUGAAAAAUAAAAAUAUUUGAUUGUAAUAAAUAAUACAUAAAUAAAUAAAUAAAUUAAUAAAAAAAUUUCGUAAAACAAACGAAUAAUAAUGCGCAAAAUAUUUGUAAAAUUUCAAAUACUGUCACGACAUCUAUCCAUAUUAUUAUAAUAUUUUUUUUUUAAAUAACAUUAAAAAAAUUUUUUAUAUUAAGUACCAAAAUAUUAUUAAAGUAUGAGAAAAGGUAUAAAAUAAAGAAUAUUUUUUUUGAGAAUUGCAGAAAAAUAAAAAUAUAUGAGAGAAAAGAUAAAAUUUAUAAGUCCAUUUUAUAAUUCCAAAUCUAAGAAAUUUACAAAAAAUUUAUAAAUUUAUAACAUUUAUUUGAUCAUCAUCGAUCAAAAUCA